rnacentral:rRNA from 1 species
CACGUAGGGGGCAAGCGUUGUCCGGAUUUAUUGGGCGUAAAGAGCUCGUAGGCGGCUCAGUAAGUCGGGUGUGAAACCUCCAGGCUCAACCUGGAGACGCCACCUGAUACUGCUGUGGCUAGAGUCCGGUAGGGGAGCGUGGAAUUCCUGGUGUAGCGGUGAAAUGCGCAGAGUAUCAGGAGGAACACCAGCGGCGAAGGCGGCGCUCUGGGCCGGAACUGACGCUGAGGCAGC